AAGAAUUUAAGUUAAAUAAACUAUUGACCUUCAAAGUCAAAAUUAUAUACUUUUA
rnacentral:tRNA from 1 species